rnacentral:lncRNA from 1 species
AUGACUGCUCUACUUCCUAACGUCAGUGUUCCUGGGAGUACGGCAGCUCUACUGGUGACCACUGACUGCCCGUUUAACCUGACUGCUGCUGAGGCAGGACCGGGCCAGUCGCUGGCCCCUCUCUGCACCCUCUGCUGCUGUGGCUUUCUCAAUCGCACCUUGGCAGUGGUGUUCAUGGUCAGCCUGGCGUUUGCCAUCGUGGUUGGAAACGUGGUCACACUUACAGUCUUUGUGCAAACGAGGCAGUCAAGAACACCACAGGGAUACCUGAAAGGUAGAUGUUGUCAACGAGUGUUUGUCAUUGUCACAUUUUCAUUACUGUAUUAUCACAAUCCCGCUCCAUCUAUUCUCACAGUGUCUCUGGCUAUAGCAGACAUGAUGGUUGGAGUCCUCGUCGUUCCUUUCUCUGUCUACACUGAAAUCUCUCUGAUGGUGACCAGUGCUCCUCCUGUUUGGUACCAGGGCAGCAGUACUUCCCCAGCCACCUCCUCCUCCCGUGGUGGACUGGUGAGCCCUUGGCAGCCAUGCAUGCUAAUUGGUCCCGUGUUUGCUGGAUGCACUUUCGUCUCCAUCAGCACCAUCUUCCUGAUGACCUUGGAGCGUAGUGUGGCCAUCCUUCGGCCGCUUCACAAGGACGCCUUGGUGACCCGAAGGCGAACUCUGCUCCUCAUCCUGCUCUCCUGGGCUGCCAGCUUCAUGUUGGCUCUCGCACCCCUCAUCUUCAGUGGAAACUUCACACUGGAGUACAAUGAGUGCAGCCGUAUGUGCAACUACACUCCACUGAUGUUUGGGAGCCAACUGCCCUCUGACGCCAACAUUUUGCUGUUAUUCCCUGCAUUCGACUUUACUCUGCUGGGUGGCACAUUAGCAGUCAACAUAGUGUCUUUCACCAGCAUCAGACGGUAUUCCAGGAAACGCAAACUUCUAUCAGAGGGAAGUCUGAGUGAUGCAGGGGUAGGAGGAGGAGGAGGAGGAGGAGGUGGAGGAUGCCCUCACAGGCCGUCCUUUUCUGACAUCAAAGCUGCUAAGACUAUCGGCAUAUUAACAUUUGCCUUCACAGCUUCCUUCUCGCCCAUCGCAGUGUUCGUUCUGGGGAACGUUGUGGGAUACACCUGGUGUAACUUUUCCUUUUUUGCCUUCUGGAUUCUGACAGGAAACAGUUGCUGUAAUGUCAUUAUCUACAGUGUCAGGGACCACCGCUUCAGGAAAGGUGUCACCCUGCUCUUUCAGAGAGACCAGUCCCCCCCACAUGGUGAGAAGACCUGA